rfam:Salinarchaeum sp. Harcht-Bsk1, complete genome.
UUGGGAACAGCACGGCCGCAAGUCUGACUCGCCGCCGCGUGUCUUCGCGGAGCGUCCCUCCGCCACGCACGGCUUGGGAUUGCGGAAGUGC